CACGCUAGUGGUAAACAGUCGGUGUUCACGCACUCUAACACUGGGUACCUGAUGAGAGACAUCGUGAACAGAGCAAACAACACAGACCAUCUUCAACGGUUGUCCUUUGGGGGAAACAACAUCAGUUCGCUUGCGCAUGCUCUUUACAAGAAGAACUAUGGACCGUUCGCAACAUCUGGCACACAAGUCAUCCCAGAUCACGAAACUGCGUCGAGAAGUAGAACAGCUUCGUAAGGAGGCUAACAUUGACCGCUCCAGAACAUCGGUGUCUGGGUGGACUCUCAUG